CCCAGCAGCAGCUGCCCACAAUUUAUUUUUUUUUUAAAAUAUAAUUAGUAAAACUAAAAAUAAACUUUGAUUAACACAAAUUUAUAACUAAAUGAAUAAUAUUUUCACUAUAUCAUAACAUAUUCAAAAAUUAAAACUCAAAAUUUCAAUAAUAUAAUAAAAAGAAACUAAAAAUCAAAGUAGACACUUACUUGAUAGGCAGUGGCGGAAGUGGCGGCAGUGGUGAGCGGCAAUGCAGUAGUGGCGAGAGGAGCGUCCAGCAGUGGCGAGCGUUCAGCAUCGGCGACAGUGACGGGAUCAACAGCGGCGGCGGCGAUUUCGGCAAGGAGAAAGAACAGGAGAGGAGAGGAGAGGAGAGGAGAGGAAGUGGGCGGCUAAAAUCAGAAAUGAGGAUGAAUGAUUAGGGUUUUUUUUAUUUAUAUUAUUUGCAUUUUCUGACGAAUUAGCGACGGAAUUUAUUCCGUCACUAAUAUUUUUAUAAUCCGUCGCUAAUCCGUCGGAAAUCUGUCAGAAAUGCC
rnacentral:lncRNA from 1 species